AAAAAUAUGUUCAUGCCCCAUUGCCCCAACUAAAUUGUAUGUGUUGAAUUUUUUUAUUGAAAUAACAUUUUGUGACUCCUCCAUCUAUGCUUUUUCAAAUAAUGGAACAAAAGAAUUGCAAUCACUUUCAAGUAACCGGACUGCUCCAUCAGCCAGAAACAAAUAAAAUGUACAAUAUUGUUAGAACAAUGCAAAUGAAGUUACAGCAUAUCUGUGCAAAAAAUGACAUAUGGGGCAGAAAAUAGUUUAUUGGGGCUGUAAUUAACCUGAAUUGCACAGAAUGUGCAACCUCUGCGAAACCAAACAAAUUUAGUGCGGGUAUGUACGGGCCGUCUCUCAACACCGAUAAAAUCUCACACGUUAUCAGCAUCGGUGGCUGCAAUGAGCCUGCUUUCCACGACCAAUCACACAUUCACUCUGAAUGGUCCUUUGCAAAUUCCAAAAUGCCUCGACCUUGGGGAAAGAACGUUCCACCAACUUCCAUCUUCAAAUUCAGUCAGUUAGUUGCAAGACUUGGUAACCCACACACACGUUUUUGUCAAGCCCAAAUUGUGAUUGUGAAAACGAUGGGUGUUUUCAGGAAAAAACCUCGAGGUAAGUGAGGAAUCCAGACAGAUGUCUGCGUUAACUGGUGUUGAUUUAUUGUCAGGUGGAGAAGGCUCUAAAUCAGAGUGGUUACCUUGAGAUAGACCUCUGAUUUCUACUGUUGGGACAUUUUUAUUAAUGUUUCUUUUGAGUCUGAGCCAUGAAAGGAUAAAAUAAGACCGCUUUGAUGCAGUUGGUGACUUUAGUUUACUACAAAAUGAAUGUUCCUUUCUGUUUUUCUCAUCUGUAGAUGAAAGCUACGAAAGGUUGGAUGAAGUCUUAUCAUCUUAGCACCCCUCUUCACCUCAGCAGUCGCUGGAAGCUGCAACAUCUCUGUGGAGGUCGUUGGCAAGAGAGGCUACAAGAAGAAGGUUGCCGCUGCUGAGGGAGGACCGAGCAGUAAGAGGAGGCUGGUCACCGAGGACCUCGAGGAGGAGCCCACCAUCAAGACUCGAGAAACGACGGAACUCUGAGGGGAUUCAGCGUCCACCUCAGCAGUCACUGGUUAGCUGGUCGUGUGAAACAGCUGCUGGAGAUGCUUCCCAUCAGCAGCUCACUGAACACGGGGUUCAGACUGUGGGGGGAGAUGGGCUCUGGUCUUUAUAAGCUGGGGUCUUGGUGUAUUUAUCUAAAUGAACUUCAACUCUGUCUCCCUUAUUGUGAUAUGUAUGCAGAUGCUUUGGUUUUCCAUCAAGAUUUUAACUAUCUGUCUUUCAUAUUUCUUUCAAUAAGUCAAUUUCUUUGACUUAUUUGUUAAAACCUGAGACCACAGUAUCCGUCUAUAACUAUUAUUCCGCAGAGUUGGUGGGAAAUUUUUCCAUUAUUGAGCCAGUGUUCUUUUUUGGAGGGUUAGGGAGACACAUUUACAUACCCACUAACAUAUAGAUAUACACACACACACGUGAAUACAUACACAUUUGUCAUCCAGAUUUCUACAUUGCUCUCUCUCUCUGACAGGAAGGAGGACUUAAGGAACUACAUCGCAUGGUUAUGAAUAAUAAAAAUAAAUAAAUAAAUAAUCUAAACCAAAUGAAUUUCUCUUUUCUUUGGAUCGCAAGGAAUCAUUACUCUGUAUUUCUUUUUUGUUGGAGUGAGAUUUUGUCGGGGGUGACCAACGUGUGUGGCUGCCACCAAUGGUGGCUCAAAUAUCAG
ensembl:lncRNA